AGAGUUUGAUCCUGGCUCAGAGUUAACGCUGGCAGCGUGCAUAACACAUGCAAGUCGAACGGGACUUAUGAGCUUGCUUAUAAGUCUAGUGGCAGACGAGUGAGUACCACGUAAGAAAUCUACCCUUGAAUGGGGAGCAACCCAUCGAAAGGCGGGCUAAUGCCCCAUAACAUCCCGAGGAGGCAUCUCCUUGGGAUUAAAGACUUCGGUCGUUCGGGGAUGAUCUUGCGUCUUAUCAGCUUGUUGGUGGGGUAAUGGCUCACCAAGGCUAAGACGAGUACCCGGCCUGAAAGGGUGAACGGGCACGGAGGCACUGAGAUACGGGCCUCACUCCUACGGGAGGCAGCAGUGGGGAAUCUUGGACAAUGGGGGAAACCCUGAUCCAGCAACGCUGCGUGAGGGAUGAAGGUCUUCGGAUCGUAAACCUCUUUUCUAAGGGAAGAAAACCCGCAAGGGCUUGACGGUACCUUAGGAAUAAGCCCCGGCUAAAUAUGUGCCAGCAGCCGCGGUAAGACAUAUGGGGCGAGCGUUACUCGGAAUCACUAGGCGUAAAGCGCGUGUAGGCGGAUGCGCAAGUCUGCUGUGAAAUCUCCCGGCUCAACUGGGAGCGGUCGGUGGAAACUGUGUGUCUAGAGUUAGGUAAGGGGUACCGGAAUUCCUGGUGUAGCGGUGAAAUGCGUAGAUAUCAGGAGGAACACCAAUGGCGAAAGCAGGUACCUAGGCCUCAACUGACGCUGA
rnacentral:rRNA from 1 species